CGGGGUGUAGCGCAGUUGGUAGCGCGCGACUUUUGGGAAGUUGAGGCCGCAGGUUCGAAUCCUGUCACUCCGACCA
rnacentral:tRNA from 2 species